rnacentral:rRNA from 1 species
CCUACGGGAGGCAGCAGUGGGGAAUAUUGGACAAUGGGGGCAACCCUGAUCCAGCCAUGCCGCGUGUGUGAAGAAGGCCCUCGGGUUGUAAAGCACUUUCAGUGAGGAAGAACGCCUGGUGGUUAAUACCCAUCAGGAAAGACAUCACUCACAGAAGAAGCACCGGCUAACUCCGUGCCAGCAGCCGCGGUAAUACGGAGGGUGCGAGCGUUAAUCGGAAUUACUGGGCGUAAAGCGCGCGUAGGUGGCUUGAUAAGCCGGUUGUGAAAGCCCCGGGCUCAACCUGGGAACGGCAUCCGGAACUGUCAAGCUAGAGUGCAGGAGAGGAAGGUAGAAUUCCCGGUGUAGCGGUGAAAUGCGUAGAGAUCGGGAGGAAUACCAGUGGCGAAGGCGGCCUUCUGGACUGACACUGACACUGAGGUGCGAAAGCGUGGGUAGCAAACAGGAUUAGAUAGCCGUGUAGUC